GCUUACUAGAUAACGAAAGCCUGCCUGACUGCCUGCCACUCUGUCUGCUAUACACUUUUGGGCCAGCCUUCAGCAAAACUUUCCACAGGCAAUCCACAUAGCAUACGCUGCUCGUCCUCAUUCCCAUCCUGUCGGAUUCCCCCGAAAACCAAGCGCACCCAAUCCCAGCCCACGGUUCCUGCCCACUCAGCAAGUUGGCCACAAACAAACUUCCUGUAUCGAUGGUAACACUCACGUACCUUUAUCGCCCAGCCCCCGGGCCAAUAUCUAAGUGAAAACACAGAUCAACAGUACGACAAU
ensembl:ncRNA lncRNA:CR44213 long non-coding RNA:CR44213